rnacentral:rRNA from 1 species
UAAUGCCUAGGAAUCUGCCUGGUAGUGGGGGAUAACGUUCGGAAACGGACGCUAAUACCGCAUACGUCCUACGGGAGAAAGCAGGGGACCUUCGGGCCUUGCGCUAUCAGAUGAGCCUAGGUCGGAUUAGCUAGUUGGUGRGGUAAUGGCUCACCAAGGCGACGAUCCGUAACUGGUCUGAGAGGAUGAUCAGUCACACUGGAACUGAGACACGGUCCAGACUCCUACGGGAGGCAGCAGUGGGGAAUAUUGGACAAUGGGCGAAAGCCUGAUCCAGCCAUGCCGCGUGUGUGAAGAAGGUCUUCGGAUUGUAAAGCACUUUAAGUUGGGAGGAAGGKUUGUAGAUUAAUACUCUGCAAUUUUGACGUUACCGACAGAAUAAGCACCGGCUAACUCUGUGCCAGCAGCCGCGGUAAUACAGAGGGUGCAAGCGUUAAUCGGAAUUACUGGGCGUAAAGCGCGCGUAGGUGGUUUGUUAAGUUGGAUGUGAAAUCCCCGGGCUCAACCUGGGAACUGCAUUCAAAACUGACUGACUAGAGUAUGGUAGAGGGUG